rnacentral:lncRNA from 12 species
AUGCAAACGUCCAGACUCCAGACAAAUAAGCAUUUUAAGAUCAUCCUCCUCUCUCUUCCCUCCCCAUCUGCCCAGAAGCCCGUGACCCUCUCCUCGAGUCAGGUGACCACAUCAGCUGUCCAGCACUGUCUGCUCUCCUCUAUUCACAUCUCUGACAUGACUUCUGCUGCCUGGAGCGAGCACUUGUUGGAUCUUCACCCACUAACUCCAUUUCAGACGCUUUUUAAAAAAUAUUAUUUCUCUUGGUGGAACAGCCACAAAUGUACAAAAAGUACAAAAGUCACAAAAUGUUCUUUAUUCAUACUUUAACCAUCGUCUAACAGGAUUGAGACGAGCUCCAUUACGUAAUGUCAUUCCCAUACACUUGGAGAGCAGUUUGAACACGCGCUCACUAAACAAGAGAAAUAAGCAGACGCUUACCGCUUUUAGUUGCUCCAGUCGGUCCUUCAUCUUCAAGUCUGCUGGUUAACACUAUCUUAAAAAUAAAAUAAAUAAAUAAUAAAUAGAAGAAAGUCAAGUGAAUCGGGAAGGGGUGAGGGUAGCGUCAGUCGGGCUGCUGAACUCCGGUGAGGCGUGUUAUUAUUCCACCGAAGGUCCAUGCAAUAUGGCUGCUCUUCUCCAAACCAGGAGCUUUUUUCCUCUAAAUCUAUCCGCUCAGAGGAUUAAAACAACACUCGCGUUCAGUCUGCUUAAUCUGCCUUCCUCCCUCUCCCUCUCUUUUCUCGUUAUAAUCGCUUCUCUUUGACGCAUGCUCUCUCUCUCUCUCUCUCUCUCUCUCUCUCUCUCUCUCUUCUCUCUCUCUCUCUCUCUCUCUCUCUCUCUCUCUCUCACACCUGUCCACGGUCACGCCCUGCGCGAACACCUGUGUGCGACCCAGUCCACAUCUAUCCCUCCAAACUAUUUUAAUAAGCCAUUUUUUUUCCUAGUAAAUAUGCUGUUUUCUAUUUCAUACUAAAGACUAAGUUGAUUAUCUAUAUUAUAGAUUUACUGUUAGCGGUCUGGUCGAGUUUUACUGGUAAAUAGAGAUAUGGAGAUAUUGACUGCAUUACAUGCCUCAUAUCUCACGCACACACUGUGACAUGAUCUUUUUAAACAUCAAAGGGCACCAAUUCCGUGUUUUUUUGAUAACUAUUAGAUGUUUAAUGAUAGCAUAAACUCAACCUCGCAUGAAAAGGAAGUGAUUAUAAAUAUAUCAAAUGUCGGUAAUUCCCCCACAAUAAGGAAAUUAAAUUAUUUUCAGUGGAAUGACUUGUUAUAACGAACUACUUUGAAUUACUUGACAUUAUCUCCCCCACAUUUUGUGCACUGUUGCCUAUUCUGUUUUUUAAUACAUUUUGUCUGAUUAAUUUUAAUGUUUAAUUUAAUAUUUAUUGCAUUUCCAGAAAGUUGACACUGCUUUUU